GGGCCCGCACAAGCGGUGGAGCAUGUGGUUCAAUUCGAAGCAACGCGAAGAACCUUACCAGCCUUUGACAUGCCCCGUAUGGUCGUCAGAGAUGACUUCCUUCCCGCAAGGGGCGGGAGCACAGGUGCUGCAUGGCUGUCGUCAGCUCGUGUCGUGAGAUGUUGGGUUAAGUCCCGCAACGAGCGCAACCCUCGCCCUUAGUUGCCAUCAUUUAGUUGGGCACUCUAAGGGGACUGCCGGUGAUAAGCCGCGAGGAAGGUGGGGAUGACGUCAAGUCCUCAUGGCCCUUACAGGCUGGGCUACACACGUGCUACAAUGGCGGUGACAGUGGGAUGCAAUGGAGCAAUCCUGCGCAAAUCUCAAAAAGCCGUCUCAGUUCGGAUUGUGCUCUGCAACUCGAGCACAUGAAGUUGGAAUCGCUAGUAAUCGCAGAUCAGCACGCUGCGGUGAAUACGUUCCCGGGCCUU
rnacentral:rRNA from 1 species